rnacentral:lncRNA from 1 species
GGGAGCUCUGCUGGUCACUUCAUGCUGCCAGGCAGCUCUCCCUGAGGGGCACAAACCCACCAUCUUCUGGGCUUUCUCCUUGGGGACAGAGCACCUGUGGGUCACCUUUCCUAUGGAAACCUAUCUGUUCCCAAACCAGUGCCAGCUAUUUACUGCAUAAGAUAGCCUUCGGGAAAAUCACAGAAGCAUCAGGGAGGGGAAGAGCAAUUCUUGUGUGAGCCCAUUUGUCAAGGCCUGGAAGAGGUCAGGAUUCCAUUAUAAAGCAGAGACCACAGUCAGCUGCAUUGGCAUCUGCAAAGGCAGAAGAUACCAAGAUAGGUGCAGUCCCAAGACUCAGUUUUAGGCCAGGGGAAAGAUUUUAGCAUCUUUUCUACACUCCAUAGAAGAUUGUGUGUCUUGGCAUGCCUGUUGGAAAAGUGCUGCAAGCAUCCAAGUCUGAAUGAGGCUCGUGGUGAGGAAACCAGACCUUCAAAUGGAGGAGAAGGGGUGAGAAUGGAAAUGUCUUCUUGGUCUUUUCUGUGGUACCUGAAGAUCCCCACCAACCUUUUGCAAGGCAGUGGACAACAAACCCUGACUGGAAAAAUACUGUAGUCUUUCUGAUGCUAGCAGAGAAACCCAGCAAAGUAUUGUCUUCUUCUGGGCUGCUUCAUGGCAUCUUCA